rnacentral:rRNA from 1 species
UACGGAGGAUCCAAGCGUUAUCCGGAUUUAUUGGGUUUAAAGGGUGCGUAGGUGGGAGAAUAAGUCAGAGGUGAAAGCUAGCAGCUUAACUGUUAAAUUGCCUUUGAUACUGUUUUUCUUGAGUCUAGUUGGCGUUGGCGGAAUGUGACAUGUAGCGGUGAAAUGCGUAGAUAUCAGGAGGAACACCGGUGGCGAAGGCGGGUCUCUGGGCCGAUACUGACGCUGAGGAGCGAAAGCGUGGGGAGCGAACAGG